ACCGUAGGAAAGUAAAAAUGCAAAUUAAUCGUUAAAACCGAAAAAAUCGCCCAGCCCUAGCUCCAUAUUGUUAAUAAUUGUUAUUACAGCAAUAAUGUGCAUGUUGACGGCAUGCCGUCUGAAAUGAGUUAAGCGUCACGGCGACAGUUGUAUAUUAAUGUAAGUUAACCAGCCAAGUUGUGUUUCACGUUAGCAUCGUGCAUGCUUAGCAGAGAAGGCUAUUGUUUGCUAGCUAAGUACUAACAAGAACAGCGCGCGGAAGGCGGCAUUCGUUUAAAUCAACCUUUGAAGUUGGUCGUCCUCUAUAUAAGGUGUGUUUGUCCAAUGUUAUUUUCCACACAGUAUCCAAUGGUGAUGCACACUGCAAAAAUCAGUAGCCGUUUAUUAAAUAGCAUGUCAGUUCAAGUAAUAUGACGAACUCUGACCCGGUUGAGUAGUAUUGAGUACAGUAACGGUUUGCGGGGGACACAUUCAAAUGAUGCACAAGGCUAACUAAGUUGAAGCUAGCUUGUAGCAUCUCUCUUAGUCUAUCUAACGUCGGCCGUCAGUUUCCUCGUGUGUCUGUAUUCAUAUGAGCGUGCAUGAAACGAUAAAUACUGAGACAACUAUCUUGCGACUAUCUCUUAGUGAAAAAUAACCAUCGUAUAUUCUGCCAAGCCACAGUAAUAAUGAUUUAUGAUUAAUUUGUCUUUUUUGAGGUAUAGCUGCAGCAAUAGCCUAUAGACUUAUGUUUACAUUAAGCUUACUGUAUAUUAUCGUGAGGACUGGAUAGAUUACCACGGAGCAGAGCCAAAGCUCAUUGUUAUAUAUUUUAGGAUUUCUCUACUUAAAAAUGUUUAAUUGUGUUAUUUUGUUGGUUAUGUUCAGUGUAAGAAAUGUGAAUAUAAGUGUAACAUCCUCAGAGACGGCACCUAAGUCCUAUACAUUUUAAAUCCUGCAGACAAUUCGUAGUGGAGUGGAGGUGGUGACCCUCAGCCCACGUGUCAGUGUCUUCAAGGAGAGAUGGCCUGGUUUAUUCAAUGAGGCUAAGGAGGAGUUCCGACACAUAACAACUCUUUCACUGGAAGAGACUUUGAUGCUGAAACUGGAUGGGUACACUAACACCACUCGCUCCAGCUGAUGCGUGCCAAAGGAGGAGAUGCUGGCUCCAGGAUGCGCCCUCUUCUGAGCACAAUUGAUGAGGCCCAGAGUGUUGGAAAAAAGGGAUGCAGUGGCCAGGUGCCUGAUUGAAGACCUUGGGGAACGCCAAGAAGACCUUUUUCAAGACAGCCAGGACGAGCCUGACAACGUCGUGGACCAAACUAUGAAGGUGCUUGUGAUCCAUGAUGCCAUGGGACCAGCAGAUGUGUCCAUUGUCAUAGAGGGAGACAGAGUUUUGAAUUUGUGCGGAAACCAAACAAAGGCAUGCGCAUUGUUGAUGGGAUUCAUCUACGCCCUCAACCUGGAAUACCCCAACAAGCUCAAAUACACAUUUGAGGUAUUCUAAAAACAGUUUUUGGAGCUUGAUGGAGCCAAGCUACUCAAACGGGUGCAGAGCCGCAAAUAAACAAUUUGUUCUGAAGUGGAUGUUGACUUGUUUUAGUGCCGAGUGACACAAACACAACAUAAUGAGAUGUGGAAUGUAAUGGAUGUGGAGAAACCUUGUUCUGUUAAAAGUGGACUGUUUAUUACUGGCACGUAAAGGUUUUAAUAGUUGAGUAAAUUGCACUUGGAAGAUUAUGUUAAAAAAAAUUACAAUUUCCAUGCACUUUACUGUUAAAACAAUGUGAUUGUAUGACUAUUUUGAAGAUUCUGCUCGGUGUUAACAAUUGAAAUGCACUUAACUGUUUAAAUAAUCUCAAUGUAUGGCCAUAUUGCACUUAUACAUUUGGUCAAUAAAAAAAACAUGAUCAAUAAAAUCUUGUGUGGCAAUAUAUUGUUUACUGGUAACCUUACUAAUAAAGUAAUAUUAAUGUGUAAUAUGGAUCAAUUAUUAAGUAAAUAGCUGCCUACGAUUAGGAGUAAAUAUUACUCAUUUAUAAGUAAUACGUUUUAAGUAAUUGAGUUAGAUUUUACUUAAUUUCUUAAAGUAAGUCUUAUAUAUUAAAUAUUAGUAACCUUUACCCAGCUGCCUAUGAUUGAGAGUAAAUAUUACUCAUUUAUAUAUAAUAUGUUUUAAGUAAUUGAGUUAGAUUUUACUUAAUUUCUUAAAGUAAAUCUUAUAUAUUAAAUAUUAGUAACCUUUACCCAAAAACAUUGGGUAAAAUCUACUCAAAAGAAGUGUGUGCAAAUUGUUACCCCCAUUUUAUUGAGUAGAUCUUAUAGGUUGGU